CUUUCCUUCCUUUCUUUUGGUUUAGAGAAGCCCUUUCAAUAUUUCCUUUAACCUGGGUUUUGUGUUGCUGUAUUCUUUAAGUUUUUGUUUGUUGGGAAAAAUUUUUAUUUCCCCUUCUAUUUUAAAUGAUAUUCUUGCUGGAUAAAGUAUUCUAGGUUGCAUAUUUUUUCCUUUGAGCACUUUAAAUAUCUCUUGCCAUUCCCUCCUGGCCUGUAGUGUUUCUGUAGAGAAAUCAGCUGAUAUUCUUAUGGGGGUUCCCUUGUAGGUAACAUUCUGUUUUUCUCUUGCUGCCUUUAGGAUCCUCUCUUUAUCACUAACUUUUGCCAUUUUUAUUAUGAUGUGUCUUGGUGUGGGUCUGUUUGGGUUCAGUUUGUUUGGGGCCCUCUGUGCUUCUUGUAUCUUGAAUCCAGUAUCCUUUAGAUUUGGGAAGUUUCCAGCGAUAAUUUCUUCAAAUAUAUUUUCCAUUCCCUUAUCUUUUUCUACUCCUUCUGGAAUUCCUAUUAUGCGUAGAUUGGCUCGUUUUAUAUUAUCCCAUAGGUCUCUUAUAUUGCUUUCCAGUUUUUUGAUUCGGUUUUCUGUCUGUUGACCAGAUUGAGUGAUUUCCAUUAUUCUAUCUUCCAUAUCACUGAUUCGUUCUUCUGCAUUAUUCAUUCUGGUUUUUACUGCCCCUAGUUCAGUUUGCAUCUCUGCAAAUGAAUGUUCUAGUUUUUCUUGGCUCCUCCUUAUAUUUUCUAGCUCCUUUCUGAGGGUAUCUGCAUUGCUGUUCAUAUCUUCUCUUAAUUCCUUCAGUAUUUUCACUAUUUCUCUUUUGAACUCCAGGUCUGUCAGACUGCAGAGAUCAGUUUCAUUGUUGACUGUUUUAGGUGAGUUCUCCUGUUGGUUUGACUGGGGGUGGUUUCUCAGCUUCUUCAUCUUGCUUGUUGUCUUCUUUCUCCUGAGGGAGUUGUACUCUCCGUUAUCGGGUAGUGUUUGCCUUGUCACUGCCGUGGAAUAUUUCCUGAGGGCUGUCGUUGUUGGUCAAUCUUUUUUUGAGGCAGUGUGGCUUUUCUGGAGUGUUGAUGGGACUAACAGUGUUUCUUUGAAGCAAAGGAGGACUUCCUGAGGGCAGACAGGACUGGGAGGUCCACCCCACGAUGGUAGCAGAUUUCACUUGGUUCUCAGCACCCCCUGGGGUCUUGGGCGGGUAGCAGGGCCCUUGGAGACUCAAGAGGUUCCUCCCCAGGGCAGCCCGAUUCAGAAAGACCGUCUGAGAUCUUUUCCCGAUUCCGCCAGGCUUGUUGCAGCUUUUCUGGGCUGCAGGGGGUCCUGCCUGGAGCUGGCAGUCCUAUGCAGCUGGUCCACUAGGUCUCAGCACCCCUUGGGGUCUUGGGCGAGUAGCAGGGCCUUUGGAGACUCAAGAGGCUCCUCCCCAGAACAGCCCGACUCAGAAAGACCGUCUGAGAUCUUUUCCCAAUUCGGCCAGGCUUGUUGCAGCUUUUCUGGGCUGCAGGGGUCCUGCCUGGAGCUGGCAGUCCUAUGCAGCUGGUCCACUAGGUCUCAGCACCCCUUGGGGUCUUGGGCGGGUAGCAGGGCCCUUGGAGACUCAAGAGGCUCCUCCCCAGGGCAGCCCGAUUCAGAAAGACCGUUUGAGAUCUUUUCCCGAUUCGGCCAGGCUUGUUGCAGCUUUUCUGGGCUGCAGGGGGUCCUGCCUGGAGCUGGCAGUCCUAUGCAGCUGGUCCACUAGGUCUCAGCACCCCCUGGGGUCUUGGGCGGGUAGCAGGGCCCUUGGAGGCUCAAGAGGCUCCUCCCCAGGACAGCCCGACUCAGAAAGACCGUCUGAGAUCUUUUCCCGAUUCCGCCAGGCUUGUUGCAGCUUUUCUGGGCUGCAGGGGGUCCUGCCUGGAGCUGGCAGUCCUAUGCAGCUGGUCCACUAGGUCUCAGCACCCCUUGGGGUCUUGGGCGGGUAGCAGGGCCCUUGGAGACUCAAGAGGCUCCUCCCCAGGACAGCCCGACUCAGAAAGACCGUCUGAGAUCUUUUCCCAAUUCGGCCAGGCUUGUUGCAGCUUUUCUGGGCUGCAGGGGGUCCUGCCUGGAGCUGGCAGUCCUAUGCAGCUGGUCCCCUAGGUCUUAGCACCCCCUGGGGUCUUGGGCGUGUAGCAAGGCCCUUGGAGACUCAAGAGGCUCCUCCCCGGGGGAGCCCGUCUCAGAAAAACCGUCGGAGAAUUAGGUCGAUCUAUUCACGGCCUGGCUAGGCUUGUUCUAGCUUUUCUGGGCUGCAGGCCUUUUCUAGGGGGCUGGU
rnacentral:lncRNA from 1 species